UGGGGAAUUUUGGACAAUGGGGGGAACCCUGAUCCAGCCAUCCCGCGUGUGCGAUGAAGGCCUUCGGGUUGUAAAGCACUUUUGGCAGGAAAGAAACGUCAUGGGUUAAUACCCCGUGAAACUGACGGUACCUGCAGAAUAAGCACCGGCUAACUACGUGCCAGCAGCCGCGGUAAUACGUAGGGUGCAAGCGUUAAUCGGAAUUACUGGGCGUAAAGCGUGCGCAGGCGGUUCGGAAAGAAAGAUGUGAAAUCCCAGAGCUCAACUUUGGAACUGCAUUUUUAACUACCGGGCUAGAGUGUGUCAGAGGGAGGUGGAAUUCCGCGUGUAGCAGUGAAAUGCGUAGAUAUGCGGAGGAACACCGAUGGCGAAGGCAGCCUCCUGGGAUAACACUGACGCUCAUGCACGAAAGCGUGGGGAGCAAACAGG
rnacentral:rRNA from 1 species